UACAGAGGGGGCAAGCGUUAUUCGGAAUUAUUGGGCGUAAAGGGCGCGUAGGCGGCUUUGCAAGUGGCGGGUGAAAUCCCUCGGCUUAACCGAGGAACUGCCUGCCAGACUGUGAGGCUUGAGUCCGGGAGAGGUGAGUGGAAUUCCCAGUGUAGCGGUGAAAUGCGUAGAUAUUGGGAGGAACACCAGUGGCGAAGGCGGCUCACUGGACCGGAACUGACGCUGAGGCGCGAAAGCGUGGGGAGCAAACAGG
rnacentral:rRNA from 1 species